rnacentral:rRNA from 1 species
UACGAAGGGGGCUAGCGUUGUUCGGAAUUACUGGGCGUAAAGGGUGCGUAGGCGGGUCUUUAAGUCAGGGGUGAAAUCCUGGAGCUCAACUCCAGAACUGCCUUUGAUACUGAGGAUCUUGAGUUCGGGAGAGGUGAGUGGAACUGCGAGUGUAGAGGUGAAAAUUCGUAGAUAUUCGCAAGAACACCAGUGGCGAAGGCGGCUCACUGGCCCGAUACUGACGCUGAGGCACGAAAAGCGUGGGGGAGCAAACAG